AUGGCUCUCUGGUUACCUAAUAUAGAGAGUCUAGCCUGCCCGGUGAAUUACUUUUAACGGCCGCGGUACUCUGACCGUGCGAAGGUAGCAUAAUCAUUUGUCUUAUAAUUGAAGUCUAGAAUGAAUGGUUUCACAAGAGUAAAUCUGUCUCUUUUUUUUUGCUAGAACUUUAUUAAUAAGUUAAAAAGCUUAUAUCCGAUUAAUAGACGAGAAGACCCUAUCGAGCUUAAGGAAAUUUAUAGAACUCUUAACAUUAAUGAAAACAGAGCAUCUAAAAAACUUUGGUUGGGGCGACAUGAGAACAAAUAAAGCUUCUCUUUUUCUUAGAACUUAUAGGUCCAGACCCAUUAAUAAUGAUUAAAAGAAUUAGUUACCGUAGGGAUAACAGCAUAAUCUUUUUUGAGAGCUCAAAUCGAAAAAGAGGUUUGUGACCUCGAUGUUGGACCAAGAUAACCUAAAGUUGCAAAAGACUUUAAAGGUUGGUCUGUUCGACCAUUAAAAUCUUACGUGAUCUGAGUUCAGACCGG
rnacentral:rRNA from 1 species